UAGGGAAUCUUCCACAAUGGACGAAAGUCUGAUGGAGCAACGCCGCGUGAGUGAAGAAGGUCUUCGGAUCGUAAAGCUCUGUUGUUGGUGAAGAAGGAUAGAGGCAGUAACUGGUCUUUAUUGACGGUAAUCAACCAGAAAGUCACGGCUAACUACGUGCCAC
rnacentral:rRNA from 1 species